AGGUGAUUCCCAGAAAACCCAGUUCAGAGGUGUGAUGGAUUUGACUCUUAAAAAAGACCUAUAUUUGUAAGAAAAUUAAUAAUUCUUAAUAUAACAUCAAUGUCUCUUAUUUGACAAAUCUUUGGGUGAUCUGGAGUUAUAGCCCUUCAUUGCUUUAACAGGGUCACCUAUUAAAGUAAGAAAAAAAAAACGAAUUCUUUCAUUUGACAGCCUCUUACUAGGGAAUAAAUUAGGUCAUUAAUAAAAAACUACUGGUCAAUCUUGAUCUGACUUGUAUGAUAUUUUCACUUUUAGAUUUAAAUACAUAUCAUAUGUAAUAUAAAGGUAACUCAAUGUAGUUUCAAAAGGAAAGAAUAAUAAAUUCCCUUAACCAUAAAUAUUAGUUUAAUAAUUACAUUUGCACUAUCAUGACUGUAAGGUUAUUGUAUGUACUCAAAACAACUAGGAAAUAUGAUUGACAGAUAAUAAUCCUUUGAUAUUGACAACACACAAUUGAUAGAAAAAAACAAUUGGCAGACACAAUAAUACACCUCCACUAGCAAAUAACCACUAUUACCUGCUAAAAAGAGGAGAUAAUUAACAUUAACGAGCUUUCAAUUAGCUCCCAACAGCAAUUAGGCCAAGACAAAAUAAGCCUUUGGUUAACAGACCUCUUGUAUAUAAUCGUUAGUUUAAAAUACCAUUAAGAUUGGCGAAAUCAUUUAGUCCAUAUUCUUUUUAUUAAUCGAGAAACUUUUUAUUGGAUGUGAACUUGUGCUGCAGUUUAUUUUUACACAAAAAAAAACAUGUACUAAGCUUCAGGUAAAAAAGCAUGUUGCCAAUACUUAUAAAUAAAUAAAUGAAAUAUGAUGUUGUCUAUAAAUUAAAUCAAUUGUUUACUUCCUGGUGCACUUGUUCUUUGGGUAUAUUAUAUUAUUCUAUAUUUAGAUUCAUUAUUUUACAUUAUAGUAUCCUCAAUCAUUAAAAUAGCAUUGUUCUUUUUGUUGCUUUCAUAUUAAUUUGAAUCACUAGCCAGUCAACACUGAGACUGUAAGUUCAAACCCAUACAGGUGCACUCAACUCCAAUCUUAAUUGACUAGGUCAGAGACAUAUAUACACAAAUAUGUCUCUGACUAGGUCAAUAAUAAUAAUAAUUAUUGUCAAUUUUUUUAUCUGAGGUCGUGGUUUUCUCCGUGGAACUCCAGCUUCCUCCACCAAUAAAAAAUGGCUGUCACAAAUAGCCAAAAAGCAGUGCUUAAAGGUGGUAUUAAAAACACACUAAAUAGAAAAAUAUCACAUCAUAUUUAUUUGGUUACCUUGGCCUAAUGUUGCCUCAUGCCUCGGUAGUAAUUUAUGUUUACUUGCAUAAACAUAGUAAUUUGGUGCAAUUUACAUAUAAAUAAACAUGAUGUUUAAAAAUGCGUUAAUUACUCAUUUCUACCUAUAGUAUUAUUAAACCAGGUAGCUUUAAGAGAAAAGACAAGAUUUGUAUACAUUUCUUAUCAAUAUAAUCUUUAUGAUUGAAAAGAUAAUAAUUGCAGGUGUAUUUUGAAGGAUGAUUUCAUAUUUAUAUAAUUAGGACUAAGAUAUUAGUCUACUUAAAAGAAGAUCGAGUUUCUAACUACUAAUUAUUAAGUGAUUCUCAAUUUUCUAAGUAUACACGAUUAUGAAAUAAUGUUAGUGUUCCAGGUGAAAAGUGUCAAUUAUGACAUUGCACGUUUUUAAUGAUUUAUGGAUGUUAUAAAUGGCUAGUGUUUCAUACUUUUAAUUUUGUAUGAGGAAGAAUCACAAUAAGUCAAUAUUUCCUUUUAUCUUCAAAAAAGGUUUUAAGGCGGAUAUAUAUCCUUAUAUGUAGAUGUCCUGACCUGUGUCCUUGGAAUUUAAAUAGCCCCUGAUGUAAGCUAUAAAUUUCCAACUGGGGCGUAUAUAUAUAUAUAUUUUUAUUAAGAUUUUAUAUUUAUAGAAUUAAUACCAUUAGUUGCUGAAAAGGACUUCGACCUGAUUAGAAGACCCGUUGAAAUAGUGCACCAAGACCUCUUUCAAUCUUCUAUUAUAAUGUAUUGGCCAUAGGAUUAUACCCCUCCUGUUUCAUAGUUGAACAUAACUGUAAAAUUUAUUCAAAUUUGAAAUUUAUUAUUAACAUUUAAAGAAAAAAAAAUCGUGUUUUAUUGUUAUUCAUUUACCAAACCACAGUGGCAGGUGUCGUCACAAUAAAACUGUAAACUGUAAAGAUUGCCCAUUAUUCAUGUUCUUAGUAGAUUUAAGAUUAAAUCGUCAGUUUUAAUAAUUUAGUAUGCUUUGAACAUUUUUGAACUUUCAAAUCUUUUAUAUUGAAAUAGCUUACCAUUGAUGUGGAUAUACAUAAAAGUAAAUAAAAAAAAAAAUCUGAUUAUAUUAUGAUGAAAAAUUUGCAGAUUUGUCGAAUAGCUUAUUUCGAGAGUUUCAAAUUGAACUGUUUGUCCUUCACAUUGAACUGAAUGCUUUUUAAACAGACCAAGAUCAAUUUUCAAUAAAAUCGUCUGUUUUUUUUACAGUUCAGUUGGGACUUCAGGGAUUAAUUUUAUGAAAAAAAGAAGUUAAUGUAGUCAGCACCUUGAAAUUUUGCAUGCUUUAUUAAUUACAAUUGGAUGAAACAGUCAUGUAAUCACUCUUUAAUUGAUCUAUGUACUAAAUUACAUAUCACACAGCAAACAUAGGUAAAAAUUUGUUACUCAAUCUCUCUUUUAUGAGGAGUGUUGGUUAACAUAUAUAUAAUAGUAAUAAGUCAACCAGUGCUGAAAUUACCACACAUUAUAUAGAUCACCGAUACAUUGAAUAUUUAUUAUCUAUAGCGCUGUUGCAAAUGUAUUGUCAACAUGUUUUCCGAACCAGUGAAAAAAAUAAAGGAAAUCAACAAACUUGUUUUGUUAAGAUUCAUAUGUCAAAUUAGUUCAAUUUCAUUAGAAAGCUGAGGAUGGUUUGCUGCACUGAAGCAGUCAAAAUAUUGAUUGCAGUGUUUCGAGUGAAUCCGGAAAGAUUUUUCCAAAGAUGUGAAGUGAGACCGCUGAGGCAAACGAAAUUGUCACAAGAUGAAUAGCUAGUAAUUCUUUGGCAUCCUUUAUCUGCAGGGUUCAGAAAAAUAGAUCUGUACUGUUCAAUUAUUAUAAUCUUUAUUUCUCAAAUAAAAAUUGCAUGUUAGUAAUGUAGAAGUGAAUAGAUCAAAAGUUUUAUAUUUAUGUAAAUUUGAACGAUUAGUAUUAAUUGGGAGUAUUCAAAGUGCAUACUGAGUUCUAGUGACAUUGUUGAGGUUUAAUCUGGCUUAAUGGCAAUGGACUUUGUUUUAUCUUUCCCAAUUGUCUGAGGUUAUGUUUUUCAACUUGAAAGUGAAUUUUAUAAGAUUUAUAUGAAAUUUAUUCAACUGGAAAAUUAAAUAAAUAUUAAUAUUUUUUGAGACAGUUGUUUUGCAGUAUUGAAAGAAAAAACGUUUAAAAAAGAGUCUGUAAAGGCAAUUAGUAAUUCUGUGAGUGAUCUAAGCUGAAAAAUAUCAAUUUUAUUCCUGAUUCUAUUUGUUUUUCUCAAGUCUUGUUUUUCAUCUAUCAAAUUAAAGCCAGCUGUACAUGUAAGGAAAUGAUUUCGAUAAAACUUAAUUUUCUUAUAUUUGCCUGCAGGAAUUGAUUGGUAUAUAUUACUGAGGGAAGACUUUUAUGGUACGACAGAGUUGAUUGAUCUGACGAACAUCAGGGUCAUUUAAGGAGACAUUGGUCAUUGGCCCUAUCUUUAUUGACAUAACAUUUGGUUGAUAAUGGAGUUUUUCUCUUAAAUAACAUGCCUUUUAAUUUUAUGUCCAGUGGAUAAACUAGGUAUCUAUUUUAAAAAUGUAUAUAAAAUCACAGAAAUAAAUUAACUGUAUAAAGCUCUAUUUAUAUAAGCUGUACAUUGUGAAGCCUUUCCUGAUAAGAUGACAUUAGAAUUUAGGGGGAAAAAUGAUUAUCAUAAUGGAUGCAGAUGAGACAACACCCCAAAAUAAAACCAAAUGUACUGUAUAUCAAAUGUCUUCAGUGACUUCACUAGUGAUAUUGCAUAGCCAAGGUUAAAGCUGCAUUUUUGCAAUUUAAAAUGCAGGUGAUUUCUUGAACAUGAUAUAAAUUGAGGAUCCUAAAUUUUUAACCAAAAAAAAGGGAGGGAGGUGAUCGACAAAUGAUCAUUCAUACUACAUAUCCUAUCAUACAGGUUUUAAUAGAGUGCUUAAUGGCAUGCUUUCUCACUAUUAAAUAAUUAAGUUGAAAUUAAGAUGGUAAGGACUACCAUAUGAUUUCCAUAGCUCAUUGGGCCUUCUGAAUUACCUGUUAAAUACCUGAAAAUCCCUUUCAUGCUAGACUUUUAAUUUCCAUAAAGGAACUCAUUAGGCCUACUAAACUCCCUGAUAAAUACCAGAUAAUGCCUUCCAUAUUAGCAAUUUCAAAUGGAUAUAAGAGAAAUACUAUGACCUUUUAGCAAAUGAUUGAUUUAAGUUCUGAUGGACCUGUGGCUAAAAAUAUUUAUAUGAAGUAGAGGUUUAUUAGAAUAAUGACUAUGAAGUCUUAUCAGCAGUGAAUCUAUAAACUUGUAUUGAGUAAAAACCUUAAUUGGUAAAUUGCUGACUUUAGUAAAUGAUUUUUUUCCGGCCUACAUACUGAUGACAAAAUUAGGUUUGACUGUGCUACUUUCAUUUAAUUUACAUCAUGACGUACAUACAUGAUUUUUAUAACAUUUGACUUUUUUAAUUGAAUAACAGAUUUUCAUGCUAUUAUAUAUGAGUGCUGUAUAUUCUACACGAUUACAGUUUUUGUAUUGAAUGUUACACAAUGUUUGACGUAGAUGUAAAUGAUAACAGUAAACAGUUGUAAAGGUCGUUGUCACAUGUUGCUUGACAUGUGAAAUUGUAAUUACAGAAUUAGAUAUCUUAUUAAUGUGUCCGAUUUUAGUAAAAUAUGGAGAGUGAUUAUUGGGGAUUAACCCAACAGUAAAAGUAAAUCAGCAUUACUGUGAUUGAUAUCAAGUAGCUUCAAUUUAUGUUGUUUACUUAUCUUUAUAAUAUCCAAGAUUGUAGCGUGUAGGCACCGAUAGUUCAUUCACUUGGUGUUUUUAGCAUAAAAUGUCAAGAUAUUAUUUUUUAAUGUAGAUAUUGACUUAGUUAGUACAAGUAAGGUCACAUUUUGCCAGUGGGCUUAACCUUUUAGGAUAUAGACUUGGAAAUGUAUAGAUAUAUUUUAAUGUAUUUUUGUUUUUUAAUCAAGUUGAGAGGGUUCUGAUUGGUAUUGUGAUAUUGGAGAAAUAAAGUUACAUUUGGAGGAUUGAGGAAACAGACAAAACAGACUAGUGUCAAAUUAGGUUCACAGUAUGAAUAAACAUGACGUGGUUGGUCUCUUCAAAUCUCUACGAAUUUUUGAAUAAUAAUAUAAAGGAAAAAAAUCCACACAAAAGCAUUCUUGAUAGUUUCUGAUGUUUGUUUUUAAGGUUGAUUUUUUUCUCCCAAAGUUCUAACAAAAGUUCCUUUUUUUAUCAUUGAGACAUUGAUCUAUGUUGUAUUUCACCUUUUAUAUUUUAACCUUGUCAAUAAAUGUUUUAUCAGGAUCAGGUCAUUUACACAAGCCGCAGGCUAUACAAUUGUAAUCUUUUUUAAAGAACUGUUAAGUCAUUUCCUUUGAACGUAGAAUCUUGUUAGUAUAUGCGGGGAUAGUGUAAUUACAUACAUCCAUGUACAUAUUGCACACCCUAUAUUAUUAUGUAUGCCUGUCCGCGAUAAACUUUCCUUUGACUUUGUAAUUGGGUCGCAUGUACGGCAGGUUUAACACUUCUGAUCUAUUAAAAACAAUAUCUUAUACACAUGGGUAAACCCCUCUUUAAGCAUGGUUAGUAUAAUACAGGUAUAUAAUUACUCUGUAUUGUGCGCUUCAUGUUGAGCGUAAACGUUAAAUUAACAGUGGCUUUUAUGGCAAAUGGGUCUGCUGACGAUUUAUGUUUUCCGAGGUAGAAAAUUUCGGAAAACAUCAAUUAUGUAUUGUAACAUAUAUCAGACAAAAGUAUUGAUGUCUGGGACCAUUGACACGCAGGAUGUCUAGAUAUAUAUAUACCUUUAAUGUUACAUUCAAAUGUCAGUUUUUGAUGACAACUAAGAUAGGUAAAUAAACAAUCGGUAGCAGUGUUAAAAUCCACUGCAAAUUAAUACCAGUCCGUAAUUAAUACCAGUUUGAGAUGGGGGGUCAUCUAGGUUGUUAAUUACUUAUUUUUCAUGUCUGUUUUAUAAACACACAGAAGAUAUGUACUAAGAUAAUUGUGAGUACAUAUAUUAAUAAUAAAAGGUUCACUAGUUCAUUUCUCUCAAGAAGAGGUGUUAAUGACCAGUGCUGAAGUACCUGUAUAGCAAGAUUCAGAUAUUUAAAGUCUGUGAAUUGUCAAGAAAUAUUGCUUUAAGAAGAAAAGAAAAAAAUCUUGCAUCACAGAGUUUGAUUGACUAUUUUGUCUCUUGGGAGCUUUGAAAACUAUCUGUGAGACAGGUUUUGAGUCAUGAAAAUUACUCAUGUUGACUCAAAACACACACAUUUGAUCCUACAAAUUAACUUUGAUGGCUGCUAACUUCAUUACAAUGGAAGCUGAAGAGUUGAAUGAAACUCUAUGAAUGCAAAUUUAAAUGUGAAGACUUGCAAAUGCAAUUUUUUUGUUGUUGAUAAAAAAGUGAAUGACAUGGGGAACUUUUAUGGUUUUGAAUUAUAGCUGCUGCUGUUCUAAUCAUUUGACAUUGAAAAAAAAGUUUACAGUAAAUUAAAUGUGCAAAACUGUUCCAAGAAAGUUAUAAAAGAGAUGCAAGGUAUUUAAAAUAUUGAUAACAAGAAGUAGAGCUCAGACUGAUAAUUUUACAUAAUUUGCCAUGUUAUAUCUUAUUUUUAGAAACUACAAUUGGCAAGUCCUGCAUUUAACAGCAAGAAUGUCCUGAAGUCAUGGUCACAAAUACAGUACAGUAUUCAUUUGAAAUUCAUAUGACAGGGAGGAUGCUUUUAUAUUAUUCAGUGUAUUUUGUCAUGUAUUUCUCCAAACACUGAAUUGAUAGUGUCCUGUCGAGACAGACAUUAUUUGUUAAGAUUUUUUUUAACAUAAAAAGAUAAAAAUAAAUGCUUGUUCUGCACCUUUACAACCUUUUCACCUCGACACUUAAAUCGUUGCCCCUUGUUUAAUACCAGACAGUACUUGAUCACGUAAUUUAAACACUAACCUAUAUGUCAGGUUGCCCUUAUUGACCGUCCACAUACCAUUAAAUAUAAAGACGGUUAUUUUUUAAUGUCUCUCUUAUAGCUUAUUUUUUAUGGUAUCUCUUUAGGCUGCAAGUUUUAAUUAUAUAAUAAUUAAUUGUUUGACCAGUAUUCAUGUUUUUAAGUGUCAUUAUGAUUAAAAUGGUAUUAUCACCUAGCUAUCCUCCUGGAAGUGUUUCUUGUCGAGUUAAUUUCAUAGUCUACCUUGGAUUAAUGAAAUGAGUAUUUUAUAAUUGAUCAAUAGUGAUUGUAUUGGGAUAGAUUGAAUCAUUAGACAACUUUUAUAUUACUCAAUUCUUGGUUAAGGAUACUUAGUUCUUACCUAUCGAUUUUGACAUUUAUAUAUAGAAAAAGUGAUUAAUAAAACGUACUUAGAUAUUUUUGGGAUGAGAAUAACUUUGGCAACCUGGCAAAGUGCAGUUUUUUUCUACUCAAUUAGAUUUUUAUACAGAAUUGUUAUUGGUGCAUCUGCUAUUGAGAUCUGUGAAAAUAUAUGUUGGGAGAUAUUUCUGCAAUAAUAUAUCUGAUUAUUGAAAACCUUGAAAAAAGUAUGUCAAAUAAGUAAUCAGUUGAAGAUAUAAGUAGGUCAAAACUUAACAGGGAUUCCAAUAGAUUUCAAAUUGUUUUAAAAGCAUGUUUGUCAUCUUGUUGUGAAUAAUUUUUAUUUGAUAAUCCUGUUGCAAGCAAUCCAUGUAUUGAUGUAGGAAUUACCACAUAUAGUAAGUGAUAAACUUAGCAGUAGUAGAUGGAGUUUCACGUUUCCAAAAAAAAAAAAGGGAAUUCCAUAUAUAAAAAUCAAUACUAGUAACAGCUGAACAUAACCUUUAAAGACUAUUAUGAAAAUUAUUUUUUUACACAUAUCUGAUAUGAGGCAUAAAUUAAGACCCAUAUUUAGUUACAUUUCUUUUUCCGUUCUUCUCAAAUAUUACAUCAUUAUGAUGUACUAUCAGACAAACCUACGCUGGCAACAUGUGUUGGUGUUAUAUUGAAAAUGACCUUGACAUUGUUAAAUUCAUUUGAUAUUUACAAAUACACGUAUGAAAAAAAAAUAUGAAGUAAAUAGUAUUAAUUUAUGAUGGUUAUCUCCUUGAACUAAUAAAAGGGUGUACUGAUAUUUUUAUGAACAAAUUUAUAGCAUAAAAAUAUUUACGAUUUGCCUGGGAAAUGAUGAAUACAUGACUAGAUUUAUAAUACAUGUACCAUGAAAUACCUGUUUGAUUACAGUUAUAUGAACAGUUAAUGGUUCAACUAGUUAUAAGUACAUGUAUAAACAUUGGGGUAAUAUCGGUGUACAGUUUGGAUUCUGUUCAACUAUGGGUCUAGACUAUUCCAUGUGGUAAUCACAUAUUGUAAAUAUCACACUUAACUUUAGUAUACACAGGUCACAUAAAUAUUAUCAUAUAUUUAUAAUAUUGUUAUUUUAUAAUGAACUGAAUACGAAAUUUUCUAACUGGAUGCAUCUGUCAUCUAAAGAGGAUAACUUAUAUGUUAUGCCAUUAAAAGUCUUGACUGACUGUGAGGUUAUUUGGUAUGAAUCCAAGAAAGUCUAUUCUUAAGAUUAUUGCCCUUUUUGUGUCAGUUGUAUCAAAGGUUAAUAACAUUGACUUGGAUGAAAACCAGUUAAACACCCAAAUUUAUCUACCUGAUGAUUUUUUUUACUGACAAGCUGUUGAAACUUAGUACAUGCAUGAUAUUGUAUACAAUAAUAAACUAAUACAAUUUUUUAUUCGAUUCAUUUCAUGUUAACGUUGAUCAUCUUUUCACAAAUCAUGUCAGUCAUAAGAUGGCAAUAAAAAUUUUAUAUUAUUGGAUAAACCUUAUUUCAUAAUCUUAACCCUUUCCUUAGCCUGGUGACCCUCCAGAAUUGCACUCCUCUUUAAAAUCUGCUUCUUUUUUUUUUCGUGGUCAACUAUAUUUGGUGUAUGGAAACAUUAUUAUAAGGUUAAUUUGACCUUUACCUCAUUAUCAUAGCUCCACUUAUUGAUCAAUAUGUGGAUUUUAAGCCUGUUCUUCAGAUACUCAAUCUGUAUAUAAGGUCAACUAAAUAUGGUGUUGUGUUGAUUAUUGGAAGAUGCUCAUAUCUGUCUGGCAGGGUUCAGUUGACAUUUACCUUAAUUUCAUGGAACUUAAUAAUGUUAAAGUAAAUGUAAUAUCUGUGAAACCUUGAUCUUAAGACUUCCAACAUGUAAUUCAAUUAAAGUACACAUAGGUUAUAUAUCUAAGCAUCACUCUUGUAUAAAGUGAAGUUGAUGUUCAGUCAAACACUAAAGAAAAAUGGAUAAUAAGAAUUGUCUGAUUUAGCUCAUGGUUAGACCAGUCUUGAGAAGGACUAACAAAUAUAAAAAUAAAGAUUUGGAAUGUCAGCAACUCUCCUUAAGAGGCUAAACGACACCAAAAUUAAUAACUAUAAGUCACCCUACAUCCAGUUUGAAAUGGGGAGACAGUUUGUUUUAUAUUUGGUCAUAGAAUUCGAUCCCAUUUCAGUACGUUUUUUUUCAAUGACUCCUCCAAACUGUUAAACAUGGCAGUGUUAAAUUAAAGCUCAGAUUUUCCAGUAAAUGACCUUGUGACAGACAGUUGAAUAUAUCAUAAAAGUCUUCCAUAAAAACUAUCAUGUUGAACCAUUGUAUAAAAAACAUCUGCUCACAGAUUACUACUGUAUAAUUCUUUUAAUUUGAAUGUCCUUUAUAUGUAGAGGUCUGAGUUUUGACUGUACAAAUAAAUAAUGUAUUAAAAGUAAUUAAUUAUUUGAAAUUACUUGAAAUCAAAAACAUUAUGAAACUUAAAAUCAUAUCAUUAUUGUUAUAAAGACCUUAAGAUAAAAUAUCUAUUUGCAAUCCCCUUAUCAUCUGUUAUUUGCUUGUAAAUAGUAUUUUGUCUGUCUAUUAAGUCAAACUAUUUAUAUUUAAUUAGAUCAAUGCUAAUAAAUUCUGUAACACUUCAUAAUUAAGUGGUCAAAAGGUAUAAUUUGUGCACAACAACUGCAUAGAAAGCAUUGUAAAAAAAAUGUUACCCUAGAAAACUUACAAGGAUAUACUUCAUUUCUUGUCUUUGAAGUGUAUUUGAAACUAAACCUUGUAACAUAAUUUACUCCAAACAGCAAAGGGUGUAAAAAUUUGCAUAAUUUUCCAACCUUUCCCAAAUUAUACUUAGAAUUAAAGAGUGAUCAAGUUUGUCAGUGCAUUCCUCUUUAACUGUCUGAUGUGCAUCAAAGGACUACAGUAUCUUUAACAUUGAUAUCACGCUGCGUAUCGAAAUAAGUGCACCUUUUUUUUGUGUUUAAUUUAUCGGCAAGAAAAGAAUUAUAACAGGAUAAUUUUGAAUUAAAGGUAAACAUAUUACGCUAUGAUUAUAUGGCAGAUGACGAGGAACUUCCAGUAUUAGUUAAGGUAGAAUUAAUUUUAAGUUCAUGCCUUUUGUGGAGUUUGGAGGUGGAAUAUAUUGGACUUUUAAACUUUUUUAAUGAACUAAGUAUACUUUGACUCAUUCUGGAACAUACCAGUUGAAAACUUCAGCUUUUCAAUGUUUAAAAUAGACUGCAUAAUGUUUAACAGAAUUUGCAAAAUUCGAAAAAGAAAAUGACAAAUUUAACCAUUUAUCAAACAGUCCCACAAAGUUCUGUUCAACAUUAAAAUCUGUAAAGUUCAUCUCAAUAUCUUACAAUAAUGCACACUGAUGUUCAUAUUUUUGACUUGUUACAAGCAAUAAUAACUGUGGAAAAUGGUGAUGACUUAAAUAUGACUAAAAGAUAAUCAACUCAUAUUUGUCUGUUACAACCUAUGGCAUUCAUUUUUUUUAAGGAAAUAGAGGAUUGAAAAAAAAACCAGAUUUUUUAACAGGCUUAUAAGGUUUUUUUUUUUAUAUUUUAUCAAAGGCAAUAGUUUUAAUUUAUCCAAUACAGACUUCUUGAAUUUGAAUACAUGCACAUGUUUACAAUUACAGUUGACUGUGUCCUCACUAUUUCCUCCUGCAUGUUAGGAUGUACUGCUGGUGUGUACUUUAAACAAAUCUGUAUUAGAUUUGCAUGUGAUUAACAGAUUGUAAUGACACUAUGACAUAAUCAUACAUCUUCCCUCCGAGCUGCAUAUUACCUGCACGAUUACAAAAUUUUCAUUAACAAAAAAAAAGAUUUAUUGUGAAAAUAUCAAUUUUAUAUGCCAAUGGUAUUUCCUAAUCCCUGAUGAAUUCUUAGAUAAAAAGAAAUAAAAUACUGGUACAAAAGACAAAAGAUGAAAUGUCCUUUUUAUGGUUGGUUAUUCCAAAUAUAUUGUUAUCUCAUUUGGCAUUCAUAUAUAUUGUAUUGCUGAAGAUUUUAUAGAUUUCCUUAUCAACGUUGGAUUCAUAGGAAGUGGGUUUCCCGUACCCUUAUGAUGCUGCAACUUAAAAUUUUGGAUUUUCCCUUUUUCCAGUUUGACCUUUACCUUUCUGUUCAUUGAAAUAGUUUUCAUGUUGAUUUUAUACCCUUAGGAUAUAUCCUUCUCAUCAGAUAGGCAGAUUUAAGGAUGUUACAAAAGAAUUUCUUUCAAUAAAUGAUCAUAUAUCUUAACCGUUAGCAAUGUAUUGAUCAACAUUAAUAUUUAGUAACUCCCUGUCCUGAGAUAACAUUCUCCGAAACCCAGCUGACAUCCAACCAAUUUGUCAUCUUAAUGCUGAAGUUACAAUGGCCUUUAUGUUGACGGAUCCCAGGUAAUGAACAAGUUUAUGAUUUUUUUCCAUGCUGUAUAGUUUUAAAGCAAUGGUUGGUAUUUCGGAAUCUUGCCAGACAAUACAUUUGUCAAUGUUUAGUUUUGGAUCACCAUAAUCAGAGUCAAAGGACAUCAUUUAUUUUCUACACUAAGUUCUAGUGACAGUGUUAUUAAAUAUUAAAGUGACAUCUUAGAAAUAAGCAGAAUUCUUUUUUAAAUAAAUAACCAAGAUACUUUUACAUGUACUGAAUUUCAAGGUCAUUUUAUAUAAUUCAGAAUCUCUUACGUGUGCUAGAAUGUACAUAUUAACAUGUCUUAGCUGCAUGUGAAGACUCAAAACAUUAAAUUAUAAAAUCAUUCUGCCUGUUCAUUUUUCAAUAGAUUAUUUUUUUAUAUAUAGAUAUAUUUAUUUUUAAUUUGAUUUUCUAUAGAUCGGCAAUAUUUUCAGAUAUUUAGCACAGUUUAUUUUCAGAAUUGAGCUGUAGAUUAUAUUCAUGACAUUUUUUAAAAGUUAUUGAACUUUUUGCCAAAGGACCUACAUAAAAAUUUGCUUAGAUACAUAAAUAAAUCAUAAGAUCUAUCCUUGACAUGUAGCCUAAUUUGCAUAUAUCCCAUAGUGAUGGUCUUAAUCCUACAAUUAUAGGUCUGUUACCCUAUUAAUCAUUUUGAUGACCACUUUACUGUUCCAAUAUUCACCAAUGGACUUUACAAAUUUUAUUACAUUGUGUUUGAGGUAUCCAUUUAAACCAAUCCCUGUAUUUGGUCAUUUUGGGGUUAUUUGAUCGCAUCAUAAUUGGUUUUGCAAAAUGAUGACCUUUUCAAUCUUUUAAUUUAUUUAGAUGGCAUUUUAAUUUUCAUCCGUUAUUGUAAGGGGUGUUGAACUUUUUAAGUAUAGUGUCUGAAUUUUUUACCUUGUUGAGGAGACCAGGAUAGGAUGUUCUAACACUAGAUUCCCGCUGUUCUAAGAUCCGGUGACUUAUACCGCUCAUCAUGAUACCGAGCUGUAAUUAUGAACUGACAUCGCAAAAAGUAGACCUAUUAAAUGGCUUAUAAAAUCAAGUCUUGUAAUCCAGUUUGGUCUACAUUUGUGACAUGCCCCCAUUGGGAAUUCCUCUUCAAUGAUAUAAUCCUUUCAUUACAUAAAAUAACAGAAAAAUAAAUAAACAAGUAUCUUUCCUGAAAUGCGAACAAAUUGUCCUACUUGCCUUAUUUAAUUUCAAAUUUUCCCUUUUAUAAGAUUUAGAAGUAGUCAAGUGAACAAGAUUUAAAUAUAUUAAAAUUAUGUUUUUUAUGGCCUUAUUAUUUGAAAUACCUGCAUUGGUUUUCAGUAAUCUGAAAUAAUAGUUAAUAUUUUAUCAUUCUAUUUUCAGAUUGUCUAAAGAGGGGUCAAGCUGAUAGUACAACUUUAAAAUGCAGGUAAUAAUAUUUGAUUUGAAGUUAUGCAGUAUUUAAGGAUCUUUGUCAAUUUUACAUAUAUAAUUUUAUUACAAAGAACUUUGCUUAAGAAAUGUAACUAGGUAAUGAAUUUAAUCACAAUGAAAAGCAAAACACAAACUUGAAGUUAAAUUAUAAGUCCUUGAAAGUUCAUUGCCAUGGAAAAACAGACUACAUGUUUAAGGUCAUACGGUAAUCAUUUAACUUCAAAUCAGGUUAAUAAUGCAGGCUAAAAUUGCUUUAAAAAAACAGCAGAGGUUACCUGCUUAAGGCACUUGUAGUUCUCUAACCCCCCUUUUUUUUAUGAAUCCCUGUAUAUAAUAUUUUUUGUGGGCCAUAAUUUUCAUCACACAAGUAAAUGAAUUCUUUUCUGUUUUAACAUUAGUGACAAGAUCCUAUUUUUAACCUUUCAGAUAAAAAUAUCCUCAACUUUUCUUUCCAUUAAUAAUAUAAAUAGAUAUAAGAGUAUUAGUUAAUCUUAAAGAGUUGUCAAUAGCAUGGUAUUAAACUGACAAAUUUUAUAGAAAUAUAGGUGGAUUUGAUAUGAAAUAAAAGGUUAUCAUGAACUAGUCACAUGUUAACUGUGUUAGUCCGGAAGUCUGCAGCACUGAGAUACUUUUGUGAUCAAUGACUUUCUAGUACCUUGUGUACAUGUAAUCUAUUCGUACUUGAAUUGUUUAUUGGGAAAAUGGUAUUAAGUUGUAGAAGUCGGAUUUCAUGUUAAAUGAUAUUGACAUUUUAUUUUGUUUUGAUAUUAAAGCUAUAUUUAUUUUGGGUACAUAGAAAUACAAGGCAGAUAUAGGCAAAAGUCUAUUAUUAGGUAGAAUAAUUGUUUUCUGUUAUAAGAAGAGGGAAGUAAAGGCUCUUCCUGGAUUGUAAGUCCACCAUCAACAUUAGACUUAGUAUACCUUAGUUUUAUUGAAUUAUAUCAAGUUGAUGUUUACUACAAUUUUUGUUAAUGCAUUAUAUAGAAAUUAAAUAUUCCAGUAAAAAAAAGGAUUGAACAGGGACCAAGAAUAAUUUUCUUCAUGAAGCUUUUUGGAAGAACUGUUCGCGGGUUUGCAGAUUGCAAAUUCGGGAAAUAAUGGCAAUCUAAGUGAAUUCAGAUGUUAUGUUUCUGCUUUUAUAUAAAGGAACUGUCUUGUUCCCCCUCUUAACCCUCCCUUUUCAAACACCAUCCUCCCAAAAAAGAAAAAUUAUGCCAGUUAUAAUGGUUAGGAGAAAUUUAAACCAGAAAUGCUUUGUCCUCGGUUUUGUCACGUUUCCUUUCCAGAAAUCGUAUUUUGUUCAUAGAUAUCAUGCUUAUAUAUUGCAGUUCAAAUUUGAUCUUCCUCAAGAGGUGAAAACAUCUUUUAUUUUCAGUUUUUGCAUAAUACAAGCUCGUCAAUUAAACCGAUCAUAAUUAGAUCUUCAUAUGUAACACUGCACCAGUUUUAUCCCUAUUUUAGUGUCUGACCUCUUGGUGCAUUGCCGAACAAUUAAGAGAAACUUUAUAUACCCUAUAAAUUGCAUGUCACUAAUGUAAUGUGUUUCGGUUCUAUAACCCCUGAACAUUAUGUCAAAUUUUACGUGACAUUAUCAAGUCUAUCAGGAAAUUAGUAGAGAAGUGGAGGUCUCAUAUAGGUCGUUCUUUAGGAUGGCAAAUUAUUUUUGUAGAGAGAAAACUUACCUUUAAAGCAAAUUAGACUAUAAAUAAUGAUAAAAUAACUGAAGGCCUUUGUCCCUAGUAUAAUAACAGUAGAUGGUUGUUGUCAAGCGAAUUUUACUUAAUAACGCAUCAAUUAAGAUAAAAGAUUAUUGGUCUGAAAUAGUAACUUUUCAUGUUGUGAUACUUAGGAAGUGAAGUAGAAAGGUUAUCUGCUAAUGAAAUACACAUGAAGUUUGUUAAGUGUCAGCUGUGUAAAGGUUAAGGGUAGGCUGGUGAAGUCAGGGUCCACCCUUAUAUCAAAAUUCAUGAUUUUUACUUUCCACGGCUCCCAGCCGUCUGAGUCUGCACUGUUCAAUAUUACAGCAUGCACAUUAACAUCAUUUUUAAGGGUUACUCAAGGUAGGAAUUAUUGAUAAAUAACAAUGUGAUACAUAUUGACAUUAAAAAAGAUCAGACUUCUCUAAAUGAAUGAGUCAGUUGCCAUCUUUUCACAAUAGCAGGGCAUAAAUUGCUGCAAAGCAAAAUUGAAUUGUCUGAUUUGUAUUGAGGCCAUGGAUCUUGUGUGCAUAUAUAUUUUCAAAGUUGGAGAGAAAAUUUUGUCCGUAUAUGUCAUGGGCUCUAUUAUAUGACUUGAUAUUACUUGGAUGGAAAAUAUUUAAGGAGGAGGGUUCAGAUCAUUAGUUUAAGAACAGGUCAAACUAGAAGACCUUUUGUCUCUAUUAACACUGGUCUGUCCCCUGAUUUACAUGGAAGACUGCAUGAGGAUUUUAGUGAAAUCAGUAAAGUUGCAAUAGUUAUAAAAACAUUAAUUGAAAAUUGGCUUUCCCAUGACUAAAAAAAAUAUGCGGUUCAAACCUAUAUUCAUAAUGAUAGUAUGUAAUGGUUGACUCUUUUUUACUGUCUUCAAUACAAAUUUAAAAAAUAAAAAAAUAACUUUUUGCUUUAUUUUGUACGAUUAUUCGAGGUCAUGUCCUUGACUUGCUACUUCACAUUUACGGACCAUUUCCUGGAAUACAUUUUCUUUGAUAUUAAAUGUUUACCUGGUUAAUGCAGGUUUUGAUAUGCUUUAACAUGAUUAAAGUUUUUUUCUGAUUUAAAAACUGAUAUGAAAUGUCUAUUGUUUUAUCUUCUGGUUUAUCAAUUGUUUACAGACAUUUUAAUAUGAUUGUACUUAGUAGAUGGUCAGAUAUUCUUAUACAUAGACGGUUGAUAUCUGAUAGUGGUAGUAAAAAUGAUAAGUUGUUAUAAUUCUACCUUACAUCUUGUAGUUGGGUUAGCUUCAAAGGGUUUUAUUUGGUAUAGAACUUUUAAAAAAAGGCUUCCUGCCAAACACAAAGUAUGAGUUCUACUAGUUUUGACAUUUUAAUUAAUUGCUGUAACAUUGCAAUUUAAAAUGGUGGUAUUACUGCCAACACCAUCAAUGUCCUGAACUGAGGCCAACGGUCAUCAUGUGUUUCGACCUCUAGCUCUGUACCCUCUCAGGAUCCGUGUACAUUCAAAUUUGACCAAUGAAUAAUUAAAAUUUCAUUUUUGGGGGAAAAUUUAAGUUUCAAAUAGAAAUGAAUAGACAUUUGUCACAUACAUUACAAGUAACUUGAUUUGGGAUAAGUAAAGCAGACUUAUUUUAAUACAAGAUUUUUACUUUGAUAGAUAUUUUCACAUAAUGUCAAAUUUCUUACAACAAACAGACAACUGUCAUGUGUGUAUAGAAGUGGAAAGGAUUAACAAUAAUUUGAUAUGACAAAUUCAUGUACUCUUCAUUUUACAUGUAUGUUUUUCUUUCCUCAACUCCAUGUUAAAUGUUGGUGAAAAGAGAAAAUGUCAGCUGCCAAUUUAAUUUAAUUUUGACAAUUUAGAAUUGAUGUGGUAUUUAAAUGUUGAUAUAAACAGUGAAGUUUAUCAUCUUUAUGAUAACCUUAACAGCACGACUAGGUGUGCAGAUUGUGUACAAGGGCUGUGUUAUGCUUAAUGAUGCAUUCUGCUGGUACAUAAGUGACCCCCAUACCUGUUGACCUACAUGCAGGUGUUCACAUUAAGGCUCUCCAAAGGGAAAAUUUAUAGCUUUUUUUCUUGAGUGUGCCAAUAACCUCAUAACUGAGAUUGAACUUUUCUGUUUUAUGAUAAUUCAACAGUAAAUAAUUGCAUAAUAUUUUAUAAAAUGAUUCAAUGAGUCAGAAAGGAUCAUUCAACCCAUUUGAUGUAGAUAUUCUAUUUUUAAAGGAGUUUUACAAGAAAAGAAUUAAAGUACUUUACCUGUCUUUUAUUGAGAAAUUGAGUAAGAAGGAUGUUGAUCACAACAUGGGAGUUUUAGACUAUGAUACAUGUAUAGAAAUGCUUUUAUUUACAUAAUUGACUUACUACAUCAGCUCCAUGUAAAAUAGCCUUAAUAGGUUCCAAUUAUGACCUACAUUUAUAAGAUGCCCCAGAAAAGAAUUAAAUGCAUACUAUUCCUGAAUUAGUUGUAUAAAAAUGUUUAAUAUAAUGAUUGGACAAGAAAACCAAAUGCAAAAUUUUUCUCAGUUUAUAUAAGCUGAUGAAAUUUUAGAUAAAUUCUCUGUCUGGCUCCACUGUUGCCCACCCUAAAAUGCAGUAGGUAGGGUUUUAUUAGUUAUUAGUUAUCAAAGGUACCAGGAUUAUAAUUUAGUACGCCAGACGCAUGUUUCGUCUACAUAAAACUCAUCAGUGACGCUCAAAUCAAAAUAUUUUAAAGCCAAACAAGUACAAAGUUGAAGAGCAUUGAGGAUCCAAAAUUCCAAAAAGUUGUGCCAAAUAUGGCUAAAGUAAUCUAUGCCUGGGAUAAGAAAAUCCUUAGUUUUUCAAAAAGUUAAAAGUUUUGUAUACAGGAAAUUUAUAAAAAUGACCACAUUAUUGAUACUCAUGUCAACACCGAAGUGUUGACUACUGGGCUGGUGAUACCCUUGGGGACAAAACGUCCACCAGCAUUGAAAAAUUGCAGACAGGUUUUUUUUAAUGAAUAAAAUUGAGAAUAGAAAUGGGGAAUGUGCCAAAGAGACAACAACCCGACCAUAGAAAAAAACAACAGCAGAAGGUCACCAACAGGUCUUCAAUAAAGCGAGAAAUCCCGCACCCGGAGGCGUCCUUCAACUGGCCCCUAAACAAAUAUAUACUAGUUCAGUGAUAUAAUGAACGCCAUACUAAUUUCCAAAUUGUACACAAGAAACUAAAAUUAAAAUAAAACAAGACUAACAAAGGCCAGAGGCUCCUGACUUGGGACAGGCGCAAAAAUGCGGCGGGGUUAAACAUGUUUGUGAGAUCUCAACCCUCCCCCUAUACCUCUAGCCAAUGUAGAAAAUUUGAAAAACAUAUGCUAUAACUUUUUAUAUGUAGUCUGUAACCUAUGUAUCAAUUUAAAUAUGAAAUACUGGUACAUAAAUGUCAUGUCCUAAGUACCUACAUGGUAAAAAAAAAUUAAAAUCUAUUUUAAAAAAAGUAAAAAAUCCUGAUACAAUCCCCUAUUGUAUUGUAAAAAUCAUAAAUAAUUUUGACGGCAAACAUAUCAAGAACAAGGUUAAUAUUUUAUUACCCUUAGAGCAUAUGAUAUCGCUCUAUCUUGGCAGAUACAUUACAAUUAAAGUUAAUUUCAUGCUCAAAUAUAUCUUUGAGUGUUGUAAAUAUUUAAAAGUAAAUAGGAUCAUCAAAGAUUCUAGAGGGGAUAAUAAAAUCAUAUUUUCUGUAUAGAUGGGCUGUAAUCUUCUCUCUUUACAACUUUUGUAUUGUUAUAUUACUAUCACAAGGACAUGCCAUUAAAAAUAUCUAGACACAUUUGAAUAAAGGUGCAAAAGACUUAAGUAUUGAAACAUGGCAUAAAAUCACCAGGGCCAAGUAUUUUCAGUGUUGUUUUCAAGUCUGUAUUUCUUGUGAUUGCAGUCAAUAAAUUCAACAUCAAUUUUUUUUUUCAUUAGAAGUGUAAAUGUAUUUCAUUUAGCAAUAUUCAAUUGAAGGCAGUUCAGUGUAUUGCCUCCCAUUUGUCCUUCACACCAUAUUUUAAUAAUGGCUAAAAUUUAAUUUUACAAUUUAACAUAUGUAUAAAUAGAAGUCAUUUACUGCUUUUAUUUCUGAGUGAUUGGUUCAGAUGAGCAUAUGUAGUUUGGGGCACUUGCUCAUUGAAGUUGUAACAUUUUAUUUGUUGGUAGUGAUCUUUGAUAAAAGUGAGGGGUCUUUACAAUGACCUAUAUCUAAUACAAAGCCAACAUAGUUUUCAAUAAGAUAAGAUAAGAUCUACAAUGAGUACGAAUGUCAAGGAGGAUCACAUUGACCUAAAAUAAAGUCUUAUCACAUAAGAAAAAUUGUCUUACAACAUUAUAAUAUAGAUUCAUCAUUAGUUAACAUAUUUCCUGGUCAUUUCAAGUGCUUAGAUUUUCUUUAAAAUGCCAUUUAUAUUCUUGUAGAUAUGUGGUAUAAAGUGUUGAAACAGCUUCCCACUGGCUUUUUCAAAAUACAGUUAUAAUAAAAUGGUAUAUUACAGCCUAUUUACAGGUCAGUAUCAAGGAAAUGUAACACCAUUUACAGUAUGUGCCAAACUGUUUUACAGUUUGCCUGACCGAAAAAGAAAUUUAAUGUUUUUCUACUAUAUUUUCAAUUGAAAAUUUUAUCUGAAUUAUUUUUUGUCUGAAAUUUUGUUGGUCAGCUCUGAGAGUUUGAGAUACACUACAUUUAUUGGAAAAAGAUACCUACAUUUUGACUCUGUCUUAUUGUUUUCUACAUGUACUUCCUAUGAUAGUAGAGUGGCAUUAUGCUGUCUGUUCCUUAAAAGUUUGGUUUACAGUAAAUCUCAGUUGGUUAAGGAAGUUUGUUGUCUGUUUCUGAUGGCAAUCUGAUUAUUUAUUUUAGGGUUAUAAAGAGGUUUGGUGCACUUUAUGUCAUUUCUGUACAAUAACUAAUAACCCUAAACCCAAUGGGUUUCAAUAUUUUUAAUAAAUUGUUCUUCAAAACAAAAUGUAGGUAUCACCUUAUAUUGACAAUUUUCUCUUCUACUGUUCUGAAAUUGUCCUCAUUUCUUUAUUUCUGUUAUUUCCAAGUGCAUUUUUAAAAUCGGUACCUCUGCUACAGUAAACUUGCAUGUAUUUUUUAUCUCCCCUUUAAAAAUUGUCCUGACUAACUAAGACAUACUGUAUCUAAUAAGUUGUUUCUGUAUAGAUAGGCUACAGUUUCUUUUAGGACUUGACUGGCUGAGAAUUUGUUGACCUUUUUUUUUUAUUAUAUAUAUGGGUAGGAAAUCUAAAAUUUUAAACUUUUCUACACUUUGAUGUCUUACUUAAUUUCCAUAUUUAACUGGAUUGUUUGAUUAUUAGUGGUAUAUGUUAACCCAUCUUUUACAUUUAUAGGAUCAAUGUGUCCUUUAGAAGUACUUUUUAGUCAAACUCAUUUCGUAUACAGUACAUAUAUACUGAUCGCAAUAAUAAAAUCUAUUUACAUGUUGUUUUUCACUGUCUUUUUCUUAUCAAAUUGUUUAUGUGAAUGUUUGUUUGCUUUCAAACUGUCUAAUGUUUGGUCUAUUUUUGCAUGAUACAUUUAGGUUUCAAACAAAUUAAUCCAUCAAAAAUAGAGCCAGAUAUAUUUAUAACACAGGUAAAAACAGUCUCACCUGGCGUCAAUUACAUAACGGAUAACACCUGUAUUGUAUAAAUAUGUAUUUACAUUUGUAAAUCGUGCCCUCCUUGCCAAGGUAGCAUCAUUACUUUCAUGAUUACAAGUUAAUUAUUAUUUAUUCUUUAAGUAAAAGGAGAAACUUGAUAAAUUGUCUAUUUACUUGUAUGCUGUAUUUUUAAGAUCCUUGAGUAAUUAUUUUAAAAGACAAACAUGAAUAUAUUUCUUCGAUAUUGUCAAUUUUUUUAUAGGUUUUUUCGACAUUUUUGGUUUUUAGUUCUAUUUAGAUUUAAUUAAAAUUCCUAAAAAAGAACUUACUUUAGUGAUUAUUGGUAUUCUAAGUUAUUUUAGUCCUAUAUAGGACAAAUUACUAAAUUUGAUUUACGAGAUUUGUAAAUUUGCAUAUAAACCUAAUGGAGUCUUGUAACAUCUUAUCAGUGUAAAUUAUUCAGGUAUUGAUUCAAAUUUUAAUCGCCUAUAAUUCGAGUCUCUCCAAUAGAUGUAAGGGUCUCUAGUCCUUUACACUUAGACUGAGAGCACCUGUCCUGAUUAUUGUAUUUAUUUACACGGGUAGAUAACGACUGUCUCCAGUACCCGACAGAUGUUCCCUGGAUGGAAACACCCUUUUAAAAUUCACUACCCUGAAGUCGUAAUGUGAGAUGUAUAUCUUUAUCUUAUCACCACACCAUUAUAGUAUCGCCUGUUAAGUACUUAUAGCAGUAAGCAAAGCGUGACAAAGUCCAACAUAAAUCCCUGUUUCUUUAGUUUUCAAGUGGCUAGCUUUGUUCCUGCUGUUCCUCUUAUCCUAUAAGUCAGUAUAUAAAAUCAUAGGUGCGAUGCCAUCACACUUUAUAUAUCUAAAAUGGACUUGUUUUGAUUUUAUCAAAAGGCUCUCGUCUGCUUGAUGUUAUUUGCAUUAAGAACAUUUCACAUGUUUUCAGUUUUCCCCUUUGAUAAUGAAGUACCAUCCUGAAGCAUUAAAUUGUUUCCCACAUAAAAAAACAAGCAGGUUUUCAUUCACUUAAAAUAAUUUUCUAAAACACCAAUCCUUCAUAUUGAUGCUGCAUAUGUUUGACUAUUAAUUAAAAUAUCUUCUAAUUUUUGACUACAUAAAUUGGAUUUAUUGGAGAGGAAUUGGUUCAGACAAAGAAUUGCCAUUUUUGAUUUUGAGGAAUUUUACAUAUUUACAGCUCUGACGUUUUGUGAUUUCAAGCACAGCCAAUUGUAUGGUAGUUAAAGCCUUUUAUAUGUAUCUUAUUAUAACUUUUCAAGUCUCUCAUGUGGAAACUUAUAUUUAUAGCAUUCCUAGAGAAGUCCUUAUUAAUUUUGCUUAUUGGUGAUAUCAAUCUUGCAAAGAAUUUUACAAAACUUUUGGCCGGCAUGUUGGUCAUUUUUAAACCAAGGAAGAAAAAUUCAUUUUCAGUUUCAAAACACAAAAUAUCAAACAAUUAUGUUUAAGUGGACAAGCAUGAUGUACAAAAUGUUUUAUCUGUUCAUUAUAUAAUCUGAACAAUAUAGGGAAUUAAAACCAAAUGUCAUUUUUGAAGUAUCCACUUUCAAUAAAAGAUUUUCUUGUCUUUCUAUCAGUUUUUAAUGCAGUCAGCAUGUUUUUGUUUGCUCCUCCUUUCCAUUAAGCAUCUGAAAAGAAUUAUAAUUUACUCUAGAUUUAUUUCCUGUUUUCACCCGAUUACAAAUUUUAAUUUAACAUAACUAAAAAUAUAUAGAUAUAUAAUAAGUGGCACAAUUUCCUUACAACAGUGUAAACUGGCACGUUAAAAGAAUUAACUGAACUGAUUAAAUCAAACUGCGAUUUUUAAUAAGAUGUAGGUCAAGUUUUAUAUAUAUAUACAUCCUCAGGUAAUAUAAUACGAAGGUUAUAUAUAAACAUGAUGUCAUUAUUGUUUGUAUACAGAAAAGUUGUUUUUGUUUUUUCCCAGGGCAGCAUGUGGUUUUAAGGUGUAAAAAAUAAUCAUGAUUCUGUCUCCUAGGUAAUUGUCAUAAAUCUUAAUCAUUGUAAUCACAAAUUACAUUAUCUACAUGUACAGUUUUUAAGUCGUGACAGGUUUUCUGAACUUAUUCUCAUGGAUAUAGGGCAUAGUCAGACAAACAUGAAUGUCAAGUUGGAAACCUCAAGUCUGUAUCAUUAAUUGCUAAUUCAUAGGUUAGGUCAUGUAAUGGGUGGGUUCUUGUUAGUUACUACAUGUAUUUGCUUUUAUUCUUAUCCAAGGCUAAUUGAUAUAUCAAUUAAACUCAGGAUUUAUAUCUGACUAUACAAAUCCUUGAUUAAAUCAAUAACAACACCAAUUAAAUGAAUUUCAAAGUUAAAGGCCAGAAAAUUUGUUAACCCAUUCUGUUUUCAAAUGUUGGAUUAUGUUUAAAAGGAUAUGUCUUGUAUAAUGUCAAUUAGACACCAACAAUGCAAUAAAACAAAACAAAAACAAUUUUACUUUAACCAGAAAGUAUCAGAAAGCCAUUUAGUUCAGACCAGGUAACUUCAUUAUUAAUUAACGCACACAUGAAGCAUCACCGAUCAUUACAAAUAAUACUACAAUUAUAUGCGCUGGUUCUGGCUGGGUACCAGAAAACAUGAGACAUACAUGUAUCUGUGGUCAGAUCUUUGAUUAUGAUAAAUGUGAAUCACCAUUAUUUUUUAUGUGUCAGUGUGAAACCUGAAGAUUGAUAACCAUCUUUGUUGUAACAAUUUUUUGUGGUUGACUUUCUGCAGGGGUAUAAAGAUUUGAUGUUAUUUGUGAAUAGAUUUGACAAGACCUAGUGAAAGUUUGAAGUAACUGCCCCAAAAAAUAAAGAACAAAAUAUUCUUGUCACUGUCUGACAAUGACCUAGCUAGUAAUUUAGAUUUCAAUCUUAAAAAUUUGAUAAAUCACUUAAAUAUUUUUAAAUAAACAUUUAGCAGGGUCAGUCACAUUGAUUGACAAAAAUUGAUGUUGUGGUUUUGGGCUGGGUUUUAUUAAGGUAUCAUUUUUUUUGUAACCAUUGCUUGAUAAUGAGACCAACUAAAUUUGGCAUGCAUUAACAAAAAGGGAAAUAUUGAAACAUUAAAUAAAAUCAACAUUUAACCAACACAUUAAUUAUGAUUUGUUCUCAGUGUUUCUACAUCAGCAAUAAUAUCCUUUAGCAUUGCAAGAAAUUACUUGGUAUUGAGGUAUGUAGAGCAUAUUGCUUGCAUUUUAAAAACUUCUACAAUGAGCCUAAUUUCUUAAUUUUUAUGUGAAUUUAAAAUAAAAUAUCAAAAUUAAUGUGUCCAACCUCAGAUUCAAACCCCUAAAAAAAAUGAGCGCUUUGAAUUUAGCUUCUAAUUCCCAGAACCCUUUUGGUUCUGCUAGGACCUCUAAUAUAUAAGUAAUUUUGAUUUUAAAGAAAUCUUGCAUAUGUAUUGGAAAAACAUUGAUUCUGACUUGUGAACAAUCCUUGAAUCUUAAAAAAGUGUGUUUUUGUAAAGAUUGCUAUAUAUAGUGUUUGCAUGCAGAAAGCAAUGGAUAAAUAGAUAUAAUCUAAUCACAUAUAUCCUAUUAGAUAUCUAUCAGGUGUGGGUAGGAAAUUGUUGGAAAUAAGAGAGGUGUAAAUACCCAGAAAUAGGAAUCUUGACUUACAUCUUAAAGUACAGGUAAUUAGAUAUAUAAAAAAGUAAAUACACAGAAAAAUUAAAUCCACUAAGAACAUCCUGCAAAAUUUUUGUGUAAGCAGGAAAUUGAAAGAAUACAGAAAGGUAUAAAUACUUGACGUGAUAAUGUUAAACAAACAUGCAAGUAGAGUUAGUGUAUAUUAAAACUCAAUACACAAUAAAACACUUGAAAACAUCCUCCCGACAGACUUAUGUCUAAGCAGGAAGUCAUGGGUACUGAUGUUUGUUAGGAUACUGGGAGAUAUGGAGACAUGAACCCCUUAUAAACAUUGUAGAAUGCUUAGCAGGAAGUCAUGAGAAUUCAGGGUACUGAAACUACUGAUGUUUGUUGGAAGCUUCUGUAUAAUACUGGCAGAUAUGGAGACAAGUACCCUUUAUAAACAUCCUGGAAGGCUUAGCAGGAAGUCACCUUCACAUUCUUAGACCCGAGACUGGUACAGAAGGAGAAAAACCAAACAUGUUUUCAGUUAUGGGUAUCAACAAGGAUCUGAUUUCAUUUUAAAACAGAAAGGAAUUUUCUCCCAAAACAUGGCUUUGGAUAUUUGUUAAAAACAAUAAAAUAUUUAUUCAGGGUUUAUAGAAUCAAGAGUUUCAAAACUGAAUACGGUAAACAGAUGAUAGUGUAUUAUGUAACCCUGUCCAAAAUUUGGAAAGAUGUUAUGUCCUGAUAUUAUAUGGAAAUAUUUGAGUUAAUCGUGCAAUUUGAUUGGUUGCCUUGACAGGGUACAUGAGCCCUUGAAAAAAAAAUGAAGAUCAGAAUUGUAUUAUAUAAUGUUGAAAUUAAGACACUCCAGUAUAAUAUAGUUGUUGUUUUCGGGCUUCACAUGAGAUUUGGGCUCACAUUUCCUGUGAAGAUCCCAUUACAAUGUAUUUUGAGAAAUUAAAAACAAAAAACAGGGUCUUUGAUAAUGUUACAUAAAAUGAAACAUUUGUGGAACUUGGGUAAAUAUUUUGAACUUGUGUGAAGUCAAGGUCCUUAACAACCCCUACAGGAGAAGGCAAAGAUUAAGAGCUAUUAAGGAAAACUACAUGGUCCAAAAUAAAGAAAAGUAUUAUUAAAAAUUAUCGUAGAAAUUUAUAUGAAAGUUGACAGGGACUUGUAAUAAGUAGCAGUAUAUAUCCUAUGUAAAUAUAAUUACAGGGGUUAUGACCAGUACAAACUGACCAUUAGUAAUCCUCAGGUCUGAUCCAUUUAAUCCUGACACCUAACACUCCUCAACAUAUGUCUUGAUAAAUAUCUAGGUAACAAUUCUUUAUCCAACAACUUAUUUCAAACAAUAAUCUAAACAAACGGUUAGAAAGAAAAACAUUGAUACAAAUAUUAGAGUCACUUGUUUCCCUGAAAGGUGUGUUAUCGUUAAUAAACUUUGAUAAAGCGUUGAAAAUUUAUGAGGCAGUAUGUACUUUACUUAAUUUGGAAUUUAAUGGUUUUAAUUGUUAUUGAAAGGAUUAUUUAGAAAUUUUUAAAUGUCACGAAGAAUUACCUUUUGAUAGCCUAAAAUAUACAGUUAGGCAGAUGGGGCAGGCCGUAUGUUUGGGUAAAGGUGUUAGAUGGGUACCAGUACUGCCAUCUGUUGUGGCCUCACCUGACGGAUACUUUACUAAUGACAAAUCCUUGUUUAAUGUCAACUUAUAGUCAAGUGAAAUGUUAAUGGUACCAGGUUACAACCAUUGUGACGAAUCAAACUCAAUUUUUUUAUCAAUAUAUUAUUUUUUAAUUUAGCACUCAAAUUGAUUGUUAGCAGUUUAAAUGUUAGUUUUAAGUCAAAAGGAUGGGUUUUUAAAUUGCCAAAAAUGAUUGAUUAAUAGCUUAUAUCAAUGCAUUUUGUUACAGUGCAGGUUGUGUAUUGAUUUUUUAAAUCAGAUUAAAAAACUUCAUCUUGUGUCUCGAAACUGAUUACAACUACAAAUGCCAAGGUUUUGUAUACAUACGUAAAUCUACUGUUGUUCAGAAAUUAGAAAUAGCUGUUAUGUUUUUGAUUAAUUAUUUUGUUAUGUCAAACCAAGGUUUCUUCUAGUUGUUUCUGGUGACAUGUAAACAGAUCAAAAAGUUUUUGACAAAUUACAGAACAGAUAAUUAUGCUAGUAACUUAUAUAAUGCCAUAGUUUUUCAGGUACUUAAUUUUAAAUUGUUAAUUAGAUUUCAGUUGCAUGCAAAUUCACUGCCAGAUGUUUCAGUGAAAAAUAAGGGGCAAUGGAGGUUUUUGUUGCUGUAGUGGGACAUUACGUCCCAAAAUUGUUAAAUCCACCACUAAGGAUUACUCAACAGAUAUGUUGUACAGGCUUGUCACCUGUCUUGUGUGUUUAGUUUUUUAAAAGGGAAAGGAAUUGGGAAUUCACCAACUUUAUUUGCCUAACUAAAACUUUCACAUAUUUUAUUUUUUUUAAUUUGUACAAAAUUAACAUAACAAUGUUAUGUACUGAUAGAUGUGUCUUAAAAAAACAUCAGUUUUAUACAGAAAUUCUCAAGAUUAAUACAACGUCUAUUUAUAUGUACAUAAAAAUAUACUUCACAAUUGUACCGAAUUAGCAAAAAAAUAAAUUUAAGGGAAGUAACUCUUUUAAUUUGUCACAUUCAACCUUUGAACUAAAUAUGAUCUGUGUAUGACCUUGACUGAAAUAAAAGCUAUAAAAGUUACUAUUAAACUGCAAAAUAACAAAUUCAUAAACAUGUCGUAAAUUUCCAAAUGAGAAUUUCUAUUGAAUUAUCCUUGAGAGAAAAUAUAGAUAAUAUCAGUAAUAAUUAGACAGAAAAAGUUUUACGUUUAUGUUUAUUUACCAAAGAUAGGGGGCUGUGAAUAAAGAUUGGUGCAACACAUUUUCUAUUUCCUGUACCGACUUUGAGAAAGUUUUCAUUAAUUUUGCAGCUUUGUGUAUUUCUAUAAAGCCAGAGGGGGGUUACUAUUGAAGUGCUUCAUUUGUGAUAAUACCCACAGUCUGUCAGAAGUGAAAAGAUUAACUGAGUACACAGACACAUCUGUCGCAUUCUCACAAAAUCAAAAGAUUUUGUCAAAUCCUUAUUCCACUUUAAAUCUCCAGUUUUGUUUGUUUAUCUUUUAACAGAGGUAAUUUGUUCUGUAUCUAGGCUGAUUGUGUAUUAGAAAACUGUCAAUUUGGCAAAAAUCAAUAAUAACAGCAUUCUUAGUUUGAAAUGAGAAAUGCAUGUUUGAAAUGUUGUAUUUCCUUGAUUAUUAGUUGUAGAAGUCUGGUAGUUGUAGAGUUGACUUGAGGGUCAGAACUGGUCAGAGAAAAUGACCUGGUUGGUUGUGGUCAGUCAUCCCAGGUCAUUGUUUAGAGGCUACAUGUUUUCUGUAGACCAGAACAUAUUAUACAUGAUAAUUCAUAAUUAAUAGGUCCUCUUUGAUGUUUAUAUUGGUUGUUUUGAUAUAUGGGAUAUUUUUCUUUAAAUCUAUUUGAAUAUGAUUCCGAUAUAAUUACUUAAAUAACAUAAAUAAGCUCGCUCAAUAAAAGCACCAUAAAAUGAAAAUUACAAAGAAUAAAUAAAUGUGUUUUUACUUAUUUUUUUACAUAAAUGUAGGUUAUGUGGAUUUAUAUAUUCCCUUGACCUUGAUGUCCUUGUAAUUGUUACCUUUCAGAUUUUGGAAAUGAUGUUUUGAGGUUUUUGACAUUUUGAUAUCUAUGAAAUUCGUCUAAAGUUUUAAAAAAAUCUGGUCAUAAGAAGGAAAAUAAAAAUUGUGAAAAACAUAUCAUUGUGCCAAAUGAAAGUAUUUGGAUUUCCACCAUAAUUAGAUUUUUUCUGGCAAAAAAAAAUAUUUUUCUCCUGUUCAUUUCUAUAAACAUAUAUAACCUCAUUCAGGUUGAAAUUGAGGUCAAGGAUUCCAUUUCAAUUGUAAUAGGCAUUGCAGGAAAAACUCAUAAUUGCUGAAAGCACAUUGCAUCUAUAGGUGUGAUUUGAAGAGAAACUCAGAUUUAUUAUUCAAACCUGGUACCUAUGCAGAAAGACAUAUAUGAUGCUACAUAUUUUUUUUAAAUCAAAACAUUAUAAAUGACAAUAAACCAAUGAAUUGUUUGUUAAAGCUUGCUAAAAAUUCACCUAAACAUGUUCAAGUCUAAAUGAUUGUGUUGACAUUUUCUAGACACAUGGAAAUGUAAAUAGUCUUAUCCUAAAACUAGAACGAGUAUAAAGGAUCUGUCACAUUCAGUGAGAAAAAAACCAGUUCAUUAGAUUUAUUCUCUAUCAGAUAAAUAAGUGAUGCAAUGCCAGUAAAAAUUCUCUUUCCUUUGAAUUAAUGGCAAGUUUGUCAGUAUCCUGACAGAUAAGAAACAUUUGAUUUGGCUUUUUGAAGAAUGUUUAUGGAUAAAAAACAGGAUUUAAUGGAUUUUACUUUGAUACCUGAUCUAUUAAAAUGUUGUUCUUUGGCCAGAAAGGUUUAAUAUUUUGACUAGAAUUAGUUAGGCCUUUUUGGCUCUUUCUUGUAAUGUUUUGAAACCUUACUUUGUUUUGGACAGUUUAAUGCAUUCUUUACAUAUCUAAAUUAAUUUAUUGAUUUUUUUGUGUGCAAAAAUGACUUGUUUUAUUCUUUGGAAACAUUCAGCUUAAAGCAAAAGUAUAGUGCAUGACAACUUUUAGAUUCUAUCAUCACAUUCAUUUCCGGAAUCAAAACAUCAAAGACGUUCAUAUUAAGGACAAUAUGGACGUGAAAUGAUUAAUUAUUAUAAAAUAAUGGUAAAUUGUUAUUAAAUUUUCUGUUAAGAUGUAUGGAUUUUUUAUUUUGACUAAUAGUAAUGUAUUCUGUUUGAAGUUAAGGAUUUUGGCUAAUCAUCUUAAUGUCAACUGAAUUAAUUAAUGAAUGUAUUUGGUAGAUUGUCACUUUGGAUCCAAUCUAUAUCAUAAAACAACACAGAACAGCAGAUUGAAGUUUGCAGAAAGAGGUUGAAGAGGAUGCCAUGGGGGAGUCAAAAGACUAUCUGUCAAAGAUAAAAAGGCAAAACUUCCAGAAAUAAUAAAUAUCCACACAACUAAUUAAGACCUACAAAUAUCCACGCAGCUACAAAUAUCCACACAGCUUAUUGAAUGUAAAAAGUUCCUGCUCCACUAUCUGCACCCAUCUUGCUACAAGUAAAAAUUUAUUGAGUGAAGAUUUAUUAUCCAGAAAUAGGGUUGUUGCAACAACUAAUAAAAGCUACAUAUUUAGCAUAUAUUUGUCAUUAACAUGUUUUUUUUAAUGAGCAGUGAAAGAUACUGUUGCAGAAUUAUAAUUCGACAUAUGAAAUUGUAUCUUUUGUAUGUAAAUCUGAUAAACAGAAGUAUGAUAUUACAUACCUUUUUGUUUUGAACAUUUAGAAUAAACACUAAAGAAAAAAGUGUUACUGUGCAAUUGCAUUUCGAGUGGGACAUUGGAAAUCAGAAAUGCAAAUGGAGUUACAUGUAUGUAUUAUUUUUUUUGUAAAUUGCAGAAAAAUAUAUUGACUACCAUGAUCAUAUGGACAAGUGUUUAAAUCUGUUCAGUGAUAAAAAAAAAAUCAUUCUAUGAAAUAUUAUAUUGAGGUCUCCCACCUAUGGUAGAAAUGACAACAGGUCAUUUGGUCUGUGAACUUUUCUCUCUUGUUUACCUGAUUUAGCACAUAGUUUCUUGAAUGUUUGUCAUGGGGCAGUACAAUAUUAAAAUGUGGACUAUUUUUAUGACCAGUGACUGAAGACCAUUUAGUGCAAUCUGUAUUCACAUCAACCUAAUUGAGUAUAAUCCCUUUAAAUAGAAAAUUUAGUUUGACUUCUGAAUGAACCCAACACCUUAUAAUUGAAUCCAAUUCUAUUACUUAUAUUCAUUUAGAAGAAGAAAUGAAAUUGUCUGUAGUAAGCAGAAUGGAAAAAAUCUAUUCCUGAAAGCAUGUUAUACGAAAAAUGUUAUUUGCUUACUACUCAUAAGAAAAGUGGAAUAUCUGAGUAUUUUUUCUAUGUCUCAAUCUCGCUAUGAAAUGAAAAACUUGAUUUAAACACUAUUUGGUCAAUUCUGAUUUCUUUUUCAUUUAAUCAGUAGAAUACUUUUCUUUUUAUUGGAUGUUUUAUGCAUUUACAAGGAAUGUUUGUUUGAGUUUUGCUAUUUUAAAAGUAAAAGACAUUUUUCAUCUUUUAAGGAUUACUAAGUAUGCAAUUCAAUGGAAACCUACUGCAUAACCUGCUUUUCUGAUGCACUUUGAUUCUUAAAAGUGAAAUUUUAAAAGAUUUAAUUUAUCAAGUGUUUUAAGAAACAUACUUGUAUAUGAAGGUUCAAAAUGCUUCAAAAGAUGAAAGAUAAAAGAAGUUUAUAUUGAUGAUAAGAUACUCUGCAAAAAUCAUUUCCAAUUUAUGAAAAAUGAAUAAUUGUGCACCUGCAGACACUGUAUAUAAAGUAUUAAAUUCUUGUGGCUUAUAUUAAUGGUAAUAUGAACGUAUUAAAAAUAUUGGAUAAUUUUUCUACCAGAAAUAGAUUGGUUAUUAUAUCCUGAAAAACUACCAGAAAUUGAUAUUUUUGUUUCUUUCAAUUGGUUUAUUUGCUAUGAUAGAUAAAAAUCCAAAAUCCAUCAAUUAUAUGUCUCGUUUGCAGUUUUUACCUUCUGGUAAAAAUUUUAUGAAUAAUCAGAUGGAUUGGAAAAAAUCACGAAUUUAGGUGGUUAGUAUGAAUUAGUAAUACUGGCCUUUCAUUAACUAUUGAUGAAAAUUAUGUGUAUUGAAUUGCUGACGGGCAACUCAAUACACAGAGAUGACUGUCAUUUCUGACGGUCACACUCGGUUAAUGCUAUAACCGAUCGGCAGUGAGUAACAACCAUUUGUCAUAAAAUUGAAGCUCAUCAUGCAAAUUCUGCUUCAUCUAAAAAGGAAACUGAAGUUUUGCAGGUCUUCGCUUCAUCAAACAUUUGUCAUUCAUUAAACCAAGAUUAAAAGUUGUCUUUGAUCUGACAAUCUUAAUUAUCAUCUUUAACAGUGUUAUAGAAGGUGUCCAAUAUCCUUAAAAGUAUUAGAAUAAAUACUUUUAUGAAGAACAAUAUUUAUAGUCCUGUUAGAAGAAUUCAUUAAAUUAAUUUUCCUUUUGAAAAUGUUGCAGUUUUAUAGAUUGUAAUUAAGAUUUUAAACAAAGCAUAUUUUUUUGUAAUUAAGGCUUGUAUGUCAUUUUAAAAGUCUAAAUUGUCCCUUUUUAAUCUUUAAUCUACCAUGCAUUGGUACUAAGGUAAAUGAAGUUUUCUGUGACAUUGGACUUUAAGAGCUACCUGCUCUGGAUGUGAUCCUGUAUUUAAUGAGGCUUCUGAUAAACCAGGCCCGGAACCAUACAUUGUUCAUUCUUUAAUGGACAUUUAUGAAUAGUGCAUUCAUGAGAAAGGAACAAUCAUUCUUAGAAAUUUUUAAAAAGUGGAAAAUUAUGGAAAAUCAAUGGUUUGGAAAACUAUUUAUGUAAAGAUAACCAUAAUGUCCACACUUACUUCAAAACUAAUAUAUAUCAAUAUAUUCAGUACACCUCAUAGCUUUUUGCAAAUAUGUGAACUUAACAAUAUCAUAAUAGACGUUUACUUUUCUACAUUGGCUAGAGGUAUAGGGGAGGGUGGAGAUCUCAUAAACAUGUUUAACCACGCCAAUUUUGCACCUGUCCCACGUCAGGAGCCUCUGGCCUUUGAUAGUCUUGUAUGAUUUUUAAUUUUAGUUUCUUGUGUAUAAUUCAGUUUAGUAUGACGUCCUAUACUGUACCAGUUACAUAUUUUUUAAGGGCCAGUUGAAGACACAUACGGGUGCGGGAAUUCUCGCUACAUUGAAGACCAUUGGUGGCCUUCAUGUUGUCUGCUCUAUGUCGGUCGUGUCGCUUUGACACAUUCACCAUUUCCUUUCUCAAUUUUAUGUUAAUCAGUGGCGGAUCAAGAACUUUGCCUAUGGGGGGAGGGGGGACCACAACUGUCAUGCUUCAGUGAUUUCCUAUUCCCAAAUAGUUCACACAAAAGGGGGGCUGGGUCAUAAUUAAGAAAAUUAAGUUUUUGAUUUUUUGAAUUCAAUCCUAUUCUAUCUGCUUUGCUUGAAAUUUUUCAGUGCAUUGGGGGGACAUUUGUACUGAUUAUUUUCUAGGUGAAAUGGCUUAAAAUGCAAAUGAAACAUUUGAUUGUAAAGUGGUUAAAAUAGCAAUAUAGACCACCUAAUGUCUGAAUACAUUGAGGUCAGAUUAUUUAUACUUUCAGGUACAUGUUAAAUGCUUUGUAAUAUUAUUCAAUCUUUUUACACCCAUGGAUAAUAAAAGUCUGGUGAUUAGCCCAUUAAACUGACUUUCUAUUGCCUAUAGAUUAAGGAUGCACAAAGAUUUAUAAUCUGAUAAAAGUGCUACUGUAACAUAUUCUUGCCAACAAACAAGACUUACUUCCAUAGAAAUUCAAUUAUUUCAAAAAAGCGGUAGCUUCAUAAUUUAAUUUCCAAUGCACAAAAAAUUGAAAUUAUCAUGUUCAUCUAUUCUAUUUAGUAAUGUCAGAUACGGUGAAAUGGAUCAUACUGUAAACCAAUUUUGUUUUCUCGUUAGAAGGUGAAUUGUUUAUUCGACAAUUUGAAUCAGAAUUUUCUAUGUUGAAUUUUGGUUUAUAUGUCCCAAUUUGAGGAGCCUGACAUUAGAUUUGAGAAGAGUAAGUGGAAGUUAUUCCAUCAUGGUGGAAAAAAAGGAUUGCAUCAGUUCUAUGAUUGUAUAUGACCUAUAUUAGCUAGGUGAUAUUUAUAGUCAAUAUUUCACCUGUUACUUUGCUAUAAGCAUCUAUAAAAUAUAGAUAUUAAUCCUGUCUUACAUGCUUACUUUUGUUAUAUGAGAUAAUUAUAUUAAUAUAGUAUAAUCCACCCUCAAUUAUGAUUAUAUUACAGAAAAGACUUAGUUCUUAAAAAUGUAAACAUAGAGUUAAACAGUAUAAAUGCUUUAGAUCCAACCUAUUAGAACUUGUGUAGAUCUAUAUAUAUUAACGCUUGCAAUGUUAAACCUAAAUUGUCUUCCUCAGGUCACAAUGCUAUGGACAGUUCACCAAUCAAAUUUAAUUACUACGUAUUAGAACAAUAAGUAUAACUUUUGUUUUAUAUAUAAAGUCUAGGAUAUAUUUUUUAAUACCAAUUUGGUUAUCCUGCUCCAACCUUUUUCCAUUAAACGUAAGAAGUCAUAUUGACUCACUAGUUUAUUUUUUGUUGCUAUCUCAUUUGACCUUAACCUCACAUCCACAUUUAUGAAACCUUUUUAGCUCACCUGGCCCGAAGGGCCAAGUGAGCUUUUCUCAUCACUUGGCGUCCGGCGUCCGUCGUCGUUAACUUUUACAAAAAUCUUCUCCUCUGAAACUACUGGGCCAAAUCAAACCAAACUUGGCCACAAUCAUCAUUGAGUUAUCUAGUUUAAAAAAUGUGUGGCGUGACCCGGUCAACCAACCAAGAUGGCCGCCACGGCUAAAAAUAGAACAUAGGGGUAAAAUGCAGUUUUUGGCUUAUAACUCAAAAACCAAAGCAUUUAGAGCAAAUCUGACAAAGGGUAAAAAUGUUUAUCAGGUCAAGAUCUAUCUGCCCAGAAAUUUUCAGAUGAAUCGGUCAAUCGGUUGUUGGGUUGCUGCCCCUGAAUUGGUAAUUUUGAAGAAAUUUUGCUGUUUUUGGUUAUUAUCUUGAAUAUUAUUAUAGAUAGAGAUAAACUGUAAACAGCAAUAAUGUUCAGCAAAGUAAGAUCUACAAAUAAGUCAACAUGACCAAAAUGGUCAGUUGACCCGUUUAGGAGUUAUUGCCCUUUAUAGUCAAUUUUUAACCAUUUUUCGUAAAUUAAAGUAAUCUUUUACAAAAAUCUUCUCCUCUGAAACUACUUGGCCAAAUUAAUCCAAACUUGGCCACAAUCAUCUUUGGGGUAUCUAGUUUAAAAAUGUUGUGGCUGACCUGGUCAACCAACCAGAUGGCCGCACCGCUAAAAUAGAACAUAGGGGUAAAAUGCAGUUUUUGGCUUAUAACUCAAAAACCAAAGCAUUUUGAGGAAAUCUGACAGGGGAUAAAAAUGUUUAUCAGGUCAAGAACUAUCUGCCCUUAAAUUUUCAGAUGAAUCGGUCAAUCGGUUGUUGGGUUGCUGCCCCUGAAUUGGUAAUUUUGAAGAAAUUUUGCUGUUUUUGGUUAUUAUCUUGAAUAUUAUUAUAGUUAGAGAUAAAACUGUAAACAGCAAUAAUGUUCAGCAAAGUAAGAUCUACAAAUAAGUCAACAUGACUAAUGGUCAAUUGACCUUAAGGAGUUAUUGCCCUUUAUAGUCAAUUUUUAACAAUUUUCAUUAAUUGGUAAAUUAUGUAAAUUUUUACCAAAUAUAGUUCUCUGUUACUAAUGGGCAAAGUUCAUGAUAGAUAUAAUUGUAAGAAGCAAAAUCGUUCAGUAAAGUAAGAACUUCAAACACAUCACCAUCACAAAAUACAAUUUGUCAUGAAUCCAUUUGUGUCCUUUGUUUAAUAUGCACAUAGACCAAGGUGAGCGACACAGGGUCUUUAGAGCCUCUAGUUUAAUGUAAAAAUAAUACGUUUUUGGUCCUCAUUUUCUCUUCAGUGUGAAAAAUGAAGUUAAUUGAAAAUGUGGAAAUAUUUGAAAAUCUAAGGAUAUUUUUGAUAAGGCCUAAAAUGGCUGUGCUUAUUUUUUUCUUAAGUUGUAUAUGACAAUACCACCUGUGACAGUCUGUUUAUUAUCCCUGGUGUCUUACAUCAUAUGUCUUGUAACAGCAGCUGUUUAACCUGUCAAAUAAUAAAUGUAAUUAUUUAAAUUCUCCUUUGGGCUUCUGUAUAGAAAAGGUCCAUCCAUGCAUACAUUAUCCUGUAACUCUUUUGCAGUUAAAUCAAAAUAUACAUUGUAUAUAAGGUCCUAAUUUUAUACUUAAAUUUGAAAAAUAACACUAUUUUCUGAAUAAAUGUUUUGAAGUAACAGAUUUCCUGGUACAGAUGUUUCAGCCAGUAAAAAAAAAAGGUUCAAUUUGGUUAUUUCAUGACAAAACUAUUUUUUCUUUUAAAUGUUAACUGCAAAGUAGGACCUCAUUAAUUCCUUGACAGAUGAAAGUCAGGAGCUUAUCAUUGCAAAUAAGUAAUGGCAAGCAAGUCGUGACUACAUCAAAAAGUUGAAAACAAACAUUUGUUACACAACAUAUUUUUAUAUUUUACAGAUAGCAGUUAGUAAGAAAUUGAGAGCACCUUAGUUCACCAACACAGACAUACGGUCAAGGUCAUGAUUUUCAGGAACCCAGAUUUACAUCAAGCAUGCAGUGAAAAUCUAUUAUUAGUGGUUUAUUGAGAUAAUAGAAAUCUGCAAGACUAAGG
rnacentral:lncRNA from 1 species